rnacentral:rRNA from 1 species
AGGAAAGGYAUACAAUGAUGCAGUCGAACGCUUSGUUUKRWSCGAKAGAUGGYGCUUGCACCUGAUUGAAGAGGGUCGCCAACKAGUAGCGGACGGGUGACCUGCACGUCRGAAACCUGUCCCRAUUGGGGGGACGAGCUUUGGAAACAUAUGCUUCUACCCCAUAUGGRCGUUGUUCGCAUGAMCAACGCUUAAAAGAUGGCUUCUCGCUAUCCCUUCUGGAUGGACCUGCGGGGGAUUARCUUGUUGGUGGGGUAACGGCCUACCAAGGSAAUGAUGCRUAKGAUCGUUGASAGACUGAUCGACCACCAUGCCACUGUCCUACGGSCCAUACUCCUACGGAAUCUUCCRSWAUGGAAUCUUCCACAAUGGASGCAAGCCUGAUGGAKCAACACCGCGUGAGUGAAGAAGGGUUUCGGCUCRKAAAGCUCUGUUGUUGAGAAKAACUGKUCUGACCUUGACUGUACAUACSUUGACGGUAUUUAACCASAAAGUCACGGCUAACUACGUGCCACCARCCKGGSWAAUACUUACGUGAUUAGUUGUAUCCRGAUUUAUUGCRCGUAAAUACAGUGCASGSAUGUUUCUAASUCUGAUGUGAAAGCCUUCGGYUUAUCCRGASAAGUGCAUCKGARACUGGAUAACUUGAGUGCARAASAGGGUAGUGGAACUCCAUGUGUAGMKRURUGAAUGCRUAGAUAUAUGGAAGAACACCWSUGKSGAAGGCGGCUACCUGGUCUGCWACUGACGCUGAGACUCGAAAGCAUGKRUAGCGAACAGGAUUAGAUACCCUGGUAGAUCCAUGCCGUAAACGAUGAGUGCUAGGUGUUGGAGGGUUUCCGCCCUUCAGUGCCGGAGCUAACGCAUUAAGCACUCCGCCUGGGGAGUACGACCGCAAGGUUGAAACUCAAAGGAAUUGACGGGGGCCCGCACAAGCGGUGGAGCAUGUGGUUUAAUUCGAAGCUACGCGAAGAACCUUACCAGGUCUUGACAUCUUGCGCCAACCCUAGAGAUAGGGCGUUUCCUUCGGGAACGCAAUGACAGGUGGUGCAUGGUCGUCGUCAGCUCGUGUCGUGAGAUGUUGGGUUAAGUCCCGCAACGAGCGCAACCCUUGUUACUAGUUGCCAGCAUUAAGUUGGGCACUCUAGUGAGACUGCCGGUGACAAACCGGAGGAAGGUGGGGACGACGUCAGAUCAUCAUGCCCCUUAUGACCUGGGCUACACACGUGCUACAAUGGACGGUACAACGAGUCGCGAACUCGCGAGGGCAAGCAAAUCUCUUAAAACCGUUCUCAGUUCGGACUGCAGGCUGCAACUCGCCUGCACGAAGUCGGAAUCGCUAGUAAUCGCGGAUCAGCAUGCCGCGGUGAAUACGUUCCCGGGCCUUGUACACACMGCCCSUCUYUCCAUGAGAGUUUGUAACACCCAAAGUCGGUGGGGUAAC